AACGUUUAGAGCCUAAUUAUUCCGUUUUGCAUAAAUUUUCCUUUCAAUUUUUAUCCCGUCACCACCUGAAAAGGUACCGACAAUUGUCACCUAAAAUUGUCACCCGAAUGCGACGAUUCUCACCCACGGUGACUACGAGAAUAGGGUAAGAACUCACAAAGUUCAUCCGAAGUGACAAUCCUCACCUAAACCGACUACUGGAAUAGAGUGACUUGGGUGACUCUACUAUCGUCACGUCACUCGAGGCGCAGAAUAAGGGCCUAUGUCUAGUUUUCGCUAGUAUUACACCGAAGACCGCUACUUCUGCCAGUUGUCUCAGGAUUAUUUAUAAGACCUCGAAACAUCGGAAGGUUGGCGUUAGGUUUGCGGAUCAAGUAAAUCCGGGUGUCUUCCAGGAAUUAUAAAAGAACGAAUCCUCGACUGAUCCGGAAACCCCAACCGAACCAGGCACGGAACACGGGUUGUUGCUGAUUUUUUUUGUGAUUAAGUGUUGGA